GGCAGCAUAGCUCAGUUGGUUAGAGCGCAGGACUCAUAAGCCUGAGGUCACUGGUUCAAAUCCAGUUGCUGCUACCA
rnacentral:tRNA from 1 species